rnacentral:tRNA from 1 species
GAGAAAAUAGCUCAAUUGGUAGAGCACUAGUUUUCAAAACUAUAAGUUAAAGGUUCGAGUCCUUUUUUUCUUG